rnacentral:rRNA from 1 species
AUUGAACGCUGGCGGCAUGCCUUACACAUGCAAGUCGAACGGCAGCACGGGGGCAACCCUGGUGGCGAGUGGCGGACGGGUGAGUAAUGCAUCGGAACGUGCCCUGAAGUGGGGGAUAACGCAGCGAAAGCUACGCUAAUACCGCAUAUUCUGUGAGCAGGAAAGCAGGGGAUCGCAAGACCUUGCGCUUUGGGAGCGGCCGAUGUCGGAUUAGCUAGUUGGUGGGGUAAAGGCCUACCAAGGCGACGAUCCGUAGCGGGUCUGAGAGGAUGAUCCGCCACACUGGGACUGAGACACGGCCCAGACUCCUACGGGAGGCAGCAGUGGGGAAUUUUGGACAAUGGGCGAAAGCCUGAUCCAGCCAUGCCGCGUGAGUGAAGAAGGCCU